rnacentral:rRNA from 1 species
UGCUUCUCCGGAUGAGUUGCGAACGGGUGAGUAACGCGUAGGUAACCUGCCUGGUAGCGGGGGAUAACUAUUGGAAACGAUAGCUAAUACCGCAUAAGAGUAGAUGUUGCAUGACAUUUGCUUAAAAGGUGCAAUUGCAUCACUACCAGAUGGACCUGCGUUGUAUUAGCUAGUUGGUGGGGUAACGGCUCACCAAGGCGACGAUACAUAGCCGACCUGAGAGGGUGAUCGGCCACACUGGGACUGAGACACGGCCCAGACUCCUACGGGAGGCAGCAGUAGGGAAUCUUCGGCAAUGGACGGAAGUCUGACCGAGCAACGCCGCGUGAGUGAAGAAGGUUUUCGGAUCGUAAAGCUCUGUUGUAAGAGAAGAACGAGUGUGAGAGUGGAAAGUUCACACUGUGACGGUAUCUUACCAGAAAGGGACGGCUAACUACGUGCCAGCAGCCGCGGUAAUACGUAGGUCCCGAGCGUUGUCCGGAUUUAUUGGGCGUAAAGCGAGCGCAGGCGGUUAGAUAAGUCUGAAGUUAAAGGCUGUGGCUUAACCAUAGUACGCUUUGGAAACUGUUUAACUUGAGUGCAAGAGGGGAGAGUGGAAUUCCAUGUGUAGCGGUGAAAUGCGUAGAUAUAUGGAGGAACACCGGUGGCGA